UACGUAGGCAGCGAGCGUUGUUCGGAGUUACUGGGCGUAAAGCGUGCGUAGGCGGUGGUCCAAGUCUGGUGUGAAAUCUCCCGGCUUAACUGGGAGGGUGCGCCGGAAACUGGGCCGCUGGAGUACGGGAGAGGCAAGCGGAAUUCCUGGUGUAGCGGUGAAAUGCGUAGAUAUCAGGAGGAACACCCGUGGUGCAGACGGCUUGCUGGACCGUGACUGACGCUGAGGCACGAAAGCGUGGGGAGCGAACAGG
rnacentral:rRNA from 1 species